rnacentral:rRNA from 1 species
UACGUAGGGCGCAAGCGUUGUCCGGAAUUAUUGGGCGUAAAGAGCUCGUAGGCGGCUUGUCACGUCGGGUGUGAAAGCCCGGGGCUUAACCCCGGGUCUGCAUUCGAUACGGGCAGGCUAGAGUUCGGUAGGGGAGAUCGGAAUUCCUGGUGUAGCGGUGAAAUGCGCAGAUAUCAGGAGGAACACCGGUGGCGAAGGCGGAUCUCUGGGCCGAUACUGACGCUGAGGAGCGAAAGCGUGGGGAGCGAACAGG